GAUCUGGCUCAGAACGAACGCUGGCGGCAGGCUUAACACAUGCAAGUUGAACGGGAUUAAUUUAGUGCUUGCACUAAAUUAUGAGAGUAGCGCACGGGUGAGUAAUACAUGGGAACCUAUCCUGAAGUGGGGGACAACAGUUGGAAACGACUGCUAAUACCGCAUACGCCCCGAGGGGGGAAAGAUUUAUCGCUUUAGGCAGGGCCCAUGGCAGAUUAGGCAGUUGGUGAGGUAACGGCUCACCAAACCGACG
rnacentral:rRNA from 1 species